UACUCUGGUUUCUCUUCAGAUUGAAUAAAUCUUUUGCCUUUUACUAAAGAUUUCCGUGGAGAGGAACAAGAAAAAAAAUAAAAAUAAAAAUUAUAAAUUGAUUUGCAUUUUAUUG